UACGUAGGUGGCAAGCGUUGUCCGGAUUUAUUGGGCUUAAAGGGUGCGUAGGCGGCUUUGUAAGUCAGUGGUGAAAUAUGGCAGCUCAACUGUCAAGGUGCCAUUGAUACUGCGAGGCUUGAGUACAAAUGAGGUAGGCGAAAUUGACGGUGUAGCGGUGAAAUGCUUAGAUAUCGUCAAGAACACCUAUAGCGAAGGCAGCUUACUAGGCUGUAACUGACGCUGAGGCACGAAAGUGUGGGGAUCAAACAGG
rnacentral:rRNA from 1 species